AGGAACUGGAGCGGGUUAUCUUUUCCAGUUUCAUCAAGAUUUAUGUAUGUGGAUCACAUGGUAUUCAUGACCCUUUUCUAUCCAAAAUAUGCAUUUUAACACGAUAACUAAACUUUUUUUUUAUCUUGAUUUGUAUUUUUUUAUUGGACAGGUUGUGGGGGAGAUAAAAAACGGAAAGACCUUAAUUCAGCUGUUGGAUUUUUAUUCCAGUCAGGUGCUUCCAUGGUACGCAUCCUUCAUGGUUUGUCUGUAAAGCACCACUUCCGUCUAUUUCCAACUUGUCUCAUUCUUAACCAUUGUUAGUUUUUUUACUUUUUCUUGCUGAUUUGUUUGAUGCAUAAUUGAGCAUCUUUUUUUCUUUUUUUUGGUUUUGCUUACAGCUGUCUUGGUAGUUUCAUUGAAAAUCUAAAAGUAAUGCGUUGUGAUCUUAAUCUUAUCCAUGUCCUGGAUUAGGUGCAAAAGAACUGAACGGUUUGAGGAGGUUGGGAUGCGCUUUGCUCAAUGUGUUUGGAAUCAAAUCGAAAGUGAUGCUGAUUUUAAAAUUGGGUUAGGAGAAAAGGUAAUCAAGUCAGGACAACUGAUUCAUUGAUGGCUUGUAGGUUGUUUUAAUUUUAAGACCUUAGAAUGUUCCGAUUGGUUAGAUUCUUAAAUU
rnacentral:lncRNA from 1 species